UACGUAGGGUCCGAGCGUUGUCCGGAAUUAUUGGGCGUAAAGAGCUCGUAGGCGGUUUGUCGCGUCUGCUGUGAAAAUCCGGGGCUCAACCCCGGACUUGCAGUGGGUACGGGCAGACUAGAGUGUGGUAGGGGAGACUGGAAUUCCUGGUGUAGCGGUGAAAUGCGCAGAUAUCAGGAGGAACACCGGUGGCGAAGGCGGGUCUCUGGGCAGUAACUGACGCUGAGGAGCGAAAGCGUGGGUAGCGAACAGG
rnacentral:rRNA from 1 species